UAUCGGAUUGAUACUAAGCCAUGCGAGUCAUUGUAGCAAUACAAGGCAUACGGCUCAGUAACGCGUAGUCAACCUAACCUAUGGACGGGAAUAACCUCGGGAAACUGAGAAUAAUGCCCGAUAGAACAUUAUGCCUGGAAUGGUUUAUGUUCCAAAUGAUUUAUCGCCGUAGGAUGGGACUGCGGCCUAUCAGUUUGUUGGUGAGGUAAUGGCCCACCAAGACUAUUACAGGUACGGGCUCUGAGAGGAGUAGCCCGGAGAUGGGUACUGAGACACGGACCCAGGCCCUAUGGGGCGCAGCAGGCGAGAAAACUUUGCAAUGUGCGAAAGCACGACAAGGUUAAUCCGAGUGGUUUCUGCUAAAGGAACCUUUUGUCAGUCCUAGAAACACUGAUGAAUAAGGGUGGGCAAGUUCUGGUGUCAGCCGCCGCGGUAAAACCAGCACCUCAAGUGGUCAGGAUGAUUAUUGGGCCUAAAGCAUCCGUAGCCGGCUCUGUAAGUUUUCGGUUAAAUCUGUACGCUCAACGUACAGGCUGCCGGGAAUACUGCAAAGCUAGGGAGUGGGAGAGGUAGACGGUACUCGGUAGGAAGGGGUAAAAUCCUUUGAUCUAUUGAUGACCACCUGUGGCGAAGGCGGUCUACCAGAACACGUCCGACGGUGAGGGAUGAGAGCUGGGGGAGCAAACCGGAUUAGAUACCCGGGUAGUCCCAGCUGUAAACCAUGCAAACUCAGUGAUGCAUUGGCUUGUGGCCAAUGCAGUGCUGCAGGGAAGCCGUUAAGUUUGCCGCCUGGGAAGUACGUACGCAAGUAUGAAACUUAAAGGAAUUGGCGGGGGAGCACCACAAGGGGUGAAGCCUGCGGUUCAAUUGGAUUC
rnacentral:rRNA from 1 species